rnacentral:rRNA from 1 species
CACGUAGGGUGCGAGCGUUGUCCGGAAUUAUUGGGCGUAAAGAGCUCGUAGGCGGUGUGUCGCGUCGGCCGUGAAAACCUGCAGCUUAACUGUGGGCUUGCGGUCGAUACGGGCAUCACUGGAGUUCGGCAGGGGAGACUGGAAUUCCUGGUGUAGCGGUGAAAUGCGCAGAUAUCAGGAAGAACACCCGUGGCGAAGGCGGUUCUCUGGGACGGUACUGGCGCUGAGACGCGAAAGCGUGGGGAGCGAACAGG